rnacentral:tRNA from 1 species
CGGAAGUGUGGCCGAGCGGUUGAAGGCACCGGUCUUGAAAACCGGCGACCCGAAAGGGUUCCAGAGUUCGAAUCUCUGCGCUUCCGCCA